GAGUUUGAUCAUGGCUCAGGAUGAACGCUGGCGGCGUGCUUAACACAUGCAAGUCGAACGAGAUCCAUGGAGCAGCAAUGCAACGGAAGAUCUAGUGGCGAACGGGUGAGUAACACGUGAGGAACCUACCCCGGUCUCAGGGAUAACAGACGGAAACAUCUGCUAAUACCUGAUGUCGUCAGAGUGCCACAUGGUGUUUUGACGAAAGAUUUAUCGGUCCGGGAGGGCCUCGCGUCCUAUCAGCUUGUUGGUGGGGUAAUGGCCUACCAAGGCGUCGACGGGUAGCUGGUCUGAGAGGAUGAUCAGCCACACUGGGACUGAGACACGGCCCAGACUCCUACGGGAGGC
rnacentral:rRNA from 1 species